UCAUGUGCAUGUUACUGCACCACAGAAAUAAAGUAACACCAAAAUCCCACUCAGCCUUGGGGUUUCAAAGUGCUUGAACAUGUAUCCCCCUUGGAUGCUGACCCUUGGCCCUCCCGUCCACAGCACACAGGCAUCUGACGACAGUGCAAUGCUUAACACGCAAGCACCUGGGCUGCUGUCUGGGGAGUAUGCUGCUGUAUUCGCAUCAUGGCAGAACAGUUCUGAGAGUGAAUCAACUAUGGGGUGCAGGAGAAUACAACGACAUGACCACUGAGCAUCCGAGCCUCGACUAUGGGUCACAUUUAUGCUUAGUCUGGAAAUACUAGCUCUCCAUUCUGAAAAUACAGCAUUUGAGUAGAUGUUGUUUCCACCCUACAGAUGAGAAUUAAGACCCAGAGUCCUGGGUUUGGGAACAAAACGAUGGUGACUCCAGACGACAAUCCCAACACUCAAGAUGCUACUACAGGAGGACUGCUGCAAGUUCAAGCCUGCCUAGCCACAGCAACAGUGAGUUCCAGACCAACCUGAAUGGCAGACAGAGUGAGACCCUAUCUCAAAACACAGGCAAGUACCUGCCACCAAGCACCAAAUCCAAAUUCAACCCCCAGGACACAUGGUAGAAGGAAAAGAAUGGACUGACUUCUUGUCUGUCCCUCGGUGUGUGUGUGUGUGUCUGUGAGAUGUAUAGAAAUACAUACAUAGAAAUAAAUGU
rnacentral:lncRNA from 1 species